GCAAACUUGGUCAUUUAGAGGAAGUAAAAGUCGUAACAAGGUCUCCGUUGGUGAACCAGCGGAGGGAUCAUUAACGAGUUUCGUACUCCAAGCCCUUUGUGAAUAUACCUGUUUUCGUUGCUUCGGCAGGUGAAGGCGGAAGGCCUCCGGGCCCGAAGCCGCCGCCGGGCGCCCCUCCGGGGGCUGCCGGGUGGGCCUGCCGGAGGGCACAGACUCUGUAUUACAACGUACCUCUCUGAGUUUUAUUUUACAAACAAGUAAAAACUUUCAACAACGGAUCUCUUGGUUCUGGCAUCGAUGAAGAACGCAGC
rnacentral:misc_RNA from 1 species